UACGGAGGUGGCAAGCGUUGCUCGGAAUCACUGGGCGUAAAGGGCGCGUAGGCGGGGAGGUAAGUCGGGUGUGAAAUCCCUUGGCCCAACCGAGGAACUGCGCCCGAGACUGCUUCUCUUGAGUCCCGGAGAGGAAGGUGGAAUUCCCGGUGUAGCGGUGAAAUGCGUAGAUAUCUGGAGGAACACCGGUGGCGAAGGCGGCAUCCUGGACCGGCAUUGACGCUGAGGAGCGAAAGCCAGGGGAGCAAACGGG
rnacentral:rRNA from 1 species